rnacentral:snRNA from 1 species
AGAUGUGAGGGCGAUCUGGCUGCGACAUCUGUCACCCCACUGGUCGCCAGGGUUGAGUCCACUGAUCUGGCUGGCUGGGCUGCUGUCCUCUCCCCCCCUCACCAAUCCCUGUGCGUCCCUCCUGAAGCUGCUGGCUUGGUGGAAGAGGAUGGCCUUCCCUGAGGAGAUGACCGUUUUCCAAAGUUG